UACGUAGGCAGCGAGCGUUGUUCGGAAUUACUGGGCGUAAAGAGUGUGUAGGCGGUGCUCUAAGUUCGGUGUGAAAUCUCCUGGCUCAACUGGGAGGGUGCGCCGGAAACUGGAGUGCUUGAGCGUGGGAGAGGAAAGCGGAAUUCCUGGUGUAGCGGUGAAAUGCGUAGAUAUCAGGAGGAACACCUGUGGUGUAGACGGCUUUCUGGACCAUAGCUGACGCUGAGACACGAAAGCGUGGGGAAGCGAACAGGG
rnacentral:rRNA from 1 species